GUGCUUGCUUCGGCAGCACAUACAGUAAAUUUGGGAUGAUACAGUGAAGAUUAGCAUGGCCCCUGUGCAGAAAAAAAAAAAAAAAAAGAGGACAAUUGCUCUUUA